rnacentral:lncRNA from 1 species
AUGCGGCCAGGCCCGCUUUGCCAGCUCAGAGCAGGUACAGGCGGGGCCUGGGGGUCCCCGCGGGCCGGGGCCGCCCCGACUCCCAGCCCCACCCGCUCCCCGCUCUCCGGGGCAGUCUCCCCAGCCCGCUUACCGCCCUCCUCCACCACCGCGCCGGGCUUCAGCCCCUCCCUCGGCACCCCGGGGUCCUCAUGCCAAGCCCGGGGACACUCUUCGGGCCAGGGCGGCGCGCGGCUCGGGCCGGGACCGCGCUCGCGGCCCGGGACUGGGCGAGCAGCGUGUGUGACUCACUACCCGGGGCCCCGCUGGCCACACCCCUGCUCCUCGGCUAAUCAGCCCCCUGCUCCCCACCGGGGCCCCAAAGCCGGCGGCGGCUGGGAGGGGUGCGGGGAAACACGACGGCCUGCCCCCUCCGCCGAGCCCGCGGGGCCGGGGGCGCGCCGAGGGGGCGGGGGCGGCCCGAGUCGCCCCGCCCCGGGCCCCGCGCCCCGCCCCCGCGCCGCCCGCACCCCGGCCCCGGCCCCGGCCCCGGCCCCCGCCCCGCCCCGUCCCGCCCGCGUGUCCGGCGGGGAAAGUGUGAGGCCGCGCGGCGGGGCGCGGGGCGCGGGGGCCGGGCAGGGCGCGGGGCGCGGGGCGCGGGGGCCGGGGCGCGGGCAGGGCGCGGGCCGCCCUCCGUCUCACCAACCUUCCCGGCGGGGAGCUCCCUGCCCUGCCCGCCCGGCCCUGCCCAGCGCCGCCCCCCGCCCGCCAGGCCCGGCAUUCCUUGCGGGGGCAUGUGGCUUCUUGCCGGCCCCGGGGGCACGCAGUUGGCUGGCGGCCGGGAGGGGGGCGCGCGGGGAGCGGGAGCGGGAGCGGGCGCCGGGAGGGGCGGCGGCCGGGGGCCCGCCCGGCGGGAGUCCAGCCCCCCGCGGGCCGGGGCCGGGGCCGGGGCCGGGCCGGGGGGGCGCCGCGGGGGCCGGGCCGGGGGGUGGGGGCCGGGCGGGUCGGCGGCGAGCGCGGGCGGCCCCCCGCGCGCCCUCCCUGCGGCCGCCGCGGACUCGGCGUGGCUGCGGCGCGGCCUGCGGGCCACCGGGCACUCGGCUCCCUGCCGCCGCGCCCGCCCCCCGCCGCCCCGUCCCCACCUGCGCGGCCGGGGGUGGGGACCGGGCACCUGCGGGGCCGGCGGGGGGGGGGGGGGGCAGGCUCCGCGCCUGCCGCUGGGCCGCCCUCCCGGCCCACGGAAUGCCCCCCGCCGUGGGGGGCCGGGGUUGA